ACUUUUUUAGUAUAAAUAAUAUAUUUGACUUCCAAUCAAAGGAUCUUAAUAAGAAAGAGUA
rnacentral:tRNA from 1 species